rnacentral:rRNA from 1 species
CGAGAGGACCGGAGUGGACGUACCCCUGGUGUUCGGGUUGUUUUGCCAAAGGCAUUGCCCGGUAGCUAUGUACGGACGGGAUAAGCGCUGAAAGCAUCUAAGUGCGAAGCCCCCCUCAAGAUUAGAUUUCCCAGAGCUUUAAGCUCCUGAAGGGCCGUUGAAGACUACGACGUUGAUAGGCUGGGUGUGGAAGCGUGGUAACACGUGAAGCUAACCAGUACUAAUUGCCCGUGAGGCUUGACCAUAUAACCCCAAG